rnacentral:rRNA from 1 species
UACGUAGGCAGCAAGCGUUGUUCGGAGUUACUGGGCGUAAAGAGUGUGUAGGCGGUCCUCUAAGUUCGGUGUGAAAUCUCCCGGCUCAACUGGGAGGGUGCGCCGGAAACUGGAGGGCUCGAGUAUGGGAGAGGAAAGCGGAAUUCCUGGUGUAGCGGUGAAAUGCGUAGAUAUCAGGAGGAACACCUGCGGUGUAGACGGCUUUCUGGACCAUCACUGACGCUGAGACACGAAAGCGUGGGGAGCAAACAGG